GUGUUCACGCAAUCGGAAUGGCCGAAAUAUCAUGUCAAUAUGAGGGACGUCCAAAAUAUCAAGCCAAUAUGCAUUUUAUGCCUUUCCUGUUAGAGGAAUAUUAGCUUGAGUACCAUACAGAGGGUGACGCAAGUGGUACUUGACAUACCAUGGCGUCCAAUGUCUAGGUUAGCAGACCCACAUCAUGUUUUCCUCUUUGCGUUCUGUACAUCAGCAAUGGACAAGAGCAGUGAUGGAGUCCUAAGAAAGAACCCAAAAAUAACUGCACUCUCUUAUUCACAUUUGAGGGCAAAACUACUUCGAGGAAUGAGGUUAAGCAAAGAUCGGUGCUCAAGAUGUUACGAGACACUUCUCAUGCAUGUUGAUAUUCUCCUUUUUUUGAGUUUCCUUUAAGGUGCGGUAUUUUGUUUUAUUUGUUAUACAAAAUAGUGCACCUGUUUGUGAUUUGAUAUGAAGGCAUGUAAUUCCUUGGAAAAA